CUACGGGUCGCUCCAGUGGGGAAUAUUGGACAAUGGGGGAAACCCUGAUCCAGCAAUGCCGCGUGUGUGAAGAAGGCCUGUGGGUUGUAAAGCACUUUCGGUUGGGAGGACUGCUUCUAGCACUAAUAUUGUUGGAAGUUGACGUUACCUUCAGAAGAAGCACCGGCUAACUCCGUGCCAGCAGCCGCGGUAAUACGGAGGGUGCAAGCGUUAAUCGGAAUUACUGGGCGUAAAGCGCGCGUAGGCGGCUAGAUCAGUCGGGUGUGAAAGCCCCGGGCUUAACCUGGGAACUGCAUCCGAUACUGUCUAGCUUGAGUACAGGAGAGGAGAGUGGAAUUCCACAUGUAGCGGUGAAAUGCGUAGAUAUGUGGAGGAACACCAAUGGCGAAGGCAGCUCACUGGCUCGAUACUGACGCUGAGGUGCGAAAGUGUGGGGAGCAAACAGGAUUAGAUACCCCGGUAGUC
rnacentral:rRNA from 1 species